AGGUUCAUGUCAUUAAACCUGUUCUUUAUAAACUAGACUGCUUAGUAGGAGCUUCAGUAUUUACUGACUCCUUACGAGAACAUGGUGCUUUACCUCUACUCCAUACAUCGUGGGUACUUCUAACACUCAAGAGAAUGUUCUUUCAUGAAAAUAAGUUUGUGGUGAAAUGGGCUGUCUACUAUAUUCUUGACAUGAAUAUUAAAGAUUUCCCACUUUUUGAGCAGUACAUGGAACCUGUUGUGUACCAACAUCUUCUUUACGUACUGAACGACAACUCUUUGUAUGGAAGGUAAUAAAAUAUGUGUUAUA